GGAGGUAUAGCUCAGUGGUAGAGCGCUCCCUUAGCAUGGGAGAGGGCUGGGGUUCAAUCCCCAUACCUCCA
rnacentral:tRNA from 1 species